UCUCUUCAUAUUAUUCCACCGAUACAUUUCUUUUAAGUCUCUAUACAUCUUAGUACUUUCUGGAUGGACUGUAUAACCGAUCUGAUGGGCUUCCUAAAGUAUUUUUUGUUUGAGUACUGAAUCAUUGGAUAUGCAAAUUCUAUUUUCGAACCUCAAUGAACCAUCAUCAUGUAUCUUGAAUUCGGAUUGAACAACAGCUUCCACUGAAUCUCUUAUUUUUAUUAAUUGUGGAUCACCAUUCUGGGCAACUUUAAUUCUUUCUAUAAGUGUUGG
rnacentral:lncRNA from 1 species